AAUAUCAACUGAAAAAGUCAUCAACAACAAAGUUGAAUAACUCAUCAAGAUCUAAAACUUUUAUUUUGGUCAUUUCUUCAUACGACAAAGUGAUAGUAACAUUGUUCACAAAAUUGACAUAUCUCUUAUCUGGUUUUAUAAACUAUAACACAUGUAUGUAAAAUUUGUGAAUAAUAUAACUAACAUUUCGUCGGAUGAAGAAAUAACAAAAAUAAAAGUUUUAGAUCUUGAUGAGUUAUUCAACUUUGUUGUUGAUGACUUUUUCAAUUGAAAUC
rfam:Oryza glaberrima chromosome 10 Oglab10_0085_9, whole genome shotgun sequence.